rnacentral:rRNA from 1 species
GAUGAACGCUGGCGGCGUGCCUAAUACAUGCAAGUCGAGCGAACAGACGAGGAGCUUGCUCCUCUGACGUUAGCGGCGGACGGGUGAGUAACACGUGGAUAACCUACCUAUAAGACUGGGAUAACUUCGGGAAACCGGAGCUAAUACCGGAUAAUCUAUUGAACCGCAUGGUUCAAUAGUGAAAGACGGUUUUGCUGUCACUUAUAGAUGGAUCCGCGCCGCAUUAGCUAGUUGGUAAGGUAACGGCUUACCAAGGCAACGAUGCGUAGCCGACCUGAGAGGGUGAUAGGCCACACUGGAACUGAGACACGGUCCAGACUCCUACGGGAGGCAGCAGUAGGGAAUCUUCCGCAAUGGGCGAAAGCCUGACGGAGCAACGCCGCGUGAGUGAUGAAGGUCUUCGGAUCGUAAAACUCUGUUAUUAGGGAAGAACAAAUGUGUAAGUAACUAUGCACGUCUUGACGGUACCUAAUCAGAAAGCCACGGCUAACUACGCG